CCUACGGGGGGCAGCAGUGGGGGAUAUUGCACAAUGGGGGGAACCCUGAUGCAGCGACGCCGCGUGGGUGAAGAAGCGCCUCGGCGCGUAAAGCCCUGUCAGCAGGGAAGAAAAUGACGGUACCUGAAGAAGAAGCCCCGGCUAACUACGUGCCAGCAGCCGCGGUAAUACGUAGGUGGCAAGCGUUGUCCGGAUUUACUGGGCGUAAAGGGCGUGCAGCCGGGAAGACAAGUCAGAUGUGAAAUCCCGCGGCUCAACCACGGAACUGCAUUUGAAACUGUUUUUCUUGAGUACCGGAGAGGUCAUCGGAAUUCUUUGUGUAGCGGUAAAAUGCGUAGAUAUCACGAAGAACACUGAUUGCGAAGGCAGUUCACUAGACUGCAACUGACACUGAGGCGCGAAAGUGUGGGUAGCAAACAGGAUUAGAUACCCCUGUAGUC
rnacentral:rRNA from 1 species